rnacentral:rRNA from 1 species
CCUACGGGGAGCUGCAGUGGGGAAUAUUGGACAAUGGGCGAAAGCCUGAUCCAGCCAUGCCGCGUGUGUGAAGAAGGCCUUCGGGUUGUAAAGCACUUUCAGUGGGGAAGAAAGCCUUGGGGCUAAUACCCUCGAGGAAGGACAUCACCCACAGAAGAAGCACCGGCUAACUCCGUGCCAGCAGCCGCGGUAAUACGGAGGGUGCGAGCGUUAAUCGGAAUUACUGGGCGUAAAGCGCGCGUAGGCGGUCUGAUAAGCCGGUUGUGAAAGCCCCGGGCUCAACCUGGGAACGGCAUCCGGAACUGUCAGGCUAGAGUGCAGGAGAGGAAGGUAGAAUUCCCGGUGUAGCGGUGAAAUGCGUAGAGAUCGGGAGGAAUACCAGUGGCGAAGGCGGCCUUCUGGACUGACACUGACGCUGAGGUGCGAAAGCGUGGGUAGCAAACAGGAUUAGAUACCCCAUAGUC